rnacentral:tRNA from 1 species
GCCAGUGUGGCUCAGUGGUUAGAGCGUCAGCCCACAGGCUGAAGGCUCGCGGGUUCCAUGCCAGUCAAGGGCA